rnacentral:rRNA from 1 species
UGGGGAAUCUUGCACAAUGGGGGAAACCCUGAUGCAGCGACGCCGCGUGAGCGAUGAAGCCCUUCGGGGUGUAAAGCUCUUUCAGUAGGGACGAUUAUGACGGUACCUGCAGAAGAAGCUGCGGCUAACUACGUGCCAGCAGCCGCGGUAAUACGUAGGCAGCAAGCGUUGUUCGGAGUUACUGGGCGUAAAGAGAGCGUAGGCGGUUCGCUAAGUUUGGUGUGAAAUCUCCUGGCUUAACUGGGAGGGUGCGCCGAAAAACUGGCGGGCUCGAGUGUGGGAGAGGAAAGCGGAAUUCCUGGUGUAGCGGUGAAAUGCGUAGAUAUCAGGAGGAACACCUGUGGUGAAGACGGCUUUCUGGACCAUUACUGACGCUGAGGCUCGAAAGCGUGGGGAGCAAACAGAUNUGAUACCCUGGUAGUCCACGCCCUAAAACGAUGCGGACUUGGUGUGGGCCGUUCAUUCGGUCCGUGCCGGAGCUAACGCGUUAAGUCCGCCGCCUGGGGAGUACGGUCGCAAGGCUGAAAACUUAAAGGAAUUGACGGGGUCAACUGUUUCCU